rnacentral:tRNA from 1 species
GGCUCCGUGGUGUAGUUGGUGUCGCAUUGGCCUAGAAUGCCGAAGACGCUGGUUCGAAUCCAGCCGGUGCCC